rnacentral:rRNA from 1 species
UCUUCCGCAAUGGACGAAAGUCUGACGGAGCAACGCCGCGUGAGUGAUGAAGGUUUUCGGAUCGUAAAGCUCUGUUGUUAGGGAAGAACAAGUGCAAGAGUAACUGCUUGCACCUUGACGGUACCUAACCAGAAAGCCACGGCUAACUACGUGCCAGCAGCCGCGGUAAUACGUAGGUGGCAAGCGUUGUCCGGAAUUAUUGGGCGUAAAGGGCUCGCAGGCGGUUUCUUAAGUCUGAUGUGAAAGCCCCCGGCUCAACCGGGGAGGGUCAUUGGAAACUGGGAAACUUGAGUGCAGAAGAGGAGAGUGGAAUUCCACGUGUAGCGGUGAAAUGCGUAGAGAUGUGGAGGAACACCAGUGGCGAAGGCGACUCUCUGGUCUGUAACUGACGCUGAGGAGCGAAAGCGUGGGGAGCGAACAGGAUUAGAUACCCUGGUAGUCCACGCCGUAAACGAUGAGUGCUAAGUGUUAGGGGGUUUCCGCCCCUUAGUGCUGCAGCUAACGCAUUAAGCACUCCGCCUGGGGAGUACGGUCGCAAGACUGAAACUCAAAGGAAUUGACGGGGGCCCGCACAAGCGGUGGAGCAUGUGGUUUAAUUCGAAGCAACGCGAAGAACCUUACCAGGUCUUGACAUCCUCUGACAACCCUAGAGAUAGGGCUUUCCCUUCGGGGACAGAGUGACAGGUGGUGCAUGGUUGUCGUCAGCUCGUGUCGUGAGAUGUUGGGUUAAGUCCCGCAACGAGCGCAACCCUUGAUCUUAGUUGCCAGCAUUCAGUUGGGCA